rnacentral:misc_RNA from 1 species
UUGGUAAAAAAAUACGGUAUAAUUCCAAAUCCCAUAGUUAAUGAUGUUAUCAGCGAUCGCUCGAAUGAUUAUAAUCUACCAGAAUGAAAGCGCAAAAUUUUUCCUGAGAAACAAACAACAAUACAUUAACAUACAACGUGUCCGGAAAUAUCACGCUAUCAAAUCGACAUACACAUACAUAAUUAUAGCCUCCUGUUUACGAGUUAUACACAUGCUACAUUUAGACGAUAUAACGAUAUAUUGAAUCAUCGGCUUCAGAAAGUCCGCGAAUAUAUCCAUCACGCACCGUUGGGUAUGGCUUCGGAAUAAAAUUGAGAGUUAAUUGAAUUAUGACAACAGGCUUAAUGGGGACAUUAUGGAUUCUCCAUUACGGUUAAACGUGCGAUCAAUCAUUAUCAAGAAAUGCAAAAAUUGCAGCUUAGAGAGGGAAGGAACUUCCAAUAAUCUAAGAAGGCUAUAGAGAGUUCGGAGCGGAGUAAUAACAUCUCUGAAAUGUUUGCUUCAACGAUCAACGUCAUAGCCUGUUAUUACGGCCUCACGAAGCUGGAGGGUGUUGCUUACGUGGGCGAUGGGUGUUGGCUGAAAGGGUGCUGUGACGUCAUUCCACCUUUCAAUAACCCCAGCGGUUAGACGUCUGAAAGGUUUUACCUUCGAUCUACAUUUUGCUAGGGUUAGUACUACAGGAAUUACUCUUUUGCGGACUAUUUGCGCGCGUCAUUUUACGUAAUAACCCGGCUAG